UACGUAGGGGGCAAGCGUUGUCCGGAUUUAUUGGGCGUAAAGAGCGUGUAGGCGGCUUGGUAGGUCCGCUGUGAAAACUCGAGGCUCAACCUCGAGAUGUCGGCGGAAACCACUUGGCUAGAGUCCGGAAGAGGAGAGUGGAAUUCCCGGUGUAGCGGUGAAAUGCGCAGAUAUCGGGAAGAACACCUAUGGCGAAGGCGGCUCACUGGUCCGGUACUGACGCUGAGGUGCGAAAGCGUGGGGAGCAAACAGG
rnacentral:rRNA from 1 species